AGUUGCAAGUUUGAGGCCAUAGCAGAAGUGCUCACGAUGAGAUCUGUCAGAUUUCAACAAAUCUGUGAAUUCUGCU
rnacentral:ribozyme from 1 species